rnacentral:rRNA from 1 species
CAGUCGCCGCGGUAAUACGUAGGGUGCAAGCGUUAAUCGGAAUUACUGGGCGUAAAGCGUGCGCAGGCGGUUAUAUAAGACAGAUGUGAAAUCCCCGGGCUCAACCUGGGAACUGCAUUUGUGACUGUAUAGCUAGAGUACGGCAGAGGGGGAUGGAAUUCCGCGUGUAGCAGUGAAAUGCGUAGAUAUGCGGAGGAACACCGAUGGCGAAGGCAAUCCCCUGGGCCUGUACUGACGCUCAUGCACGAAAGCGUGGGAGCAAACAGGAUUAGAUACCCCCGUAGUCCCUGUCUCUUAUACA